GCCGAAGUGAUGAAAUUAGUAGACACGCACGUUUCAGGGGCGUGUGUCUUUACGAACAUGCGAGUUCGAGUCUCGCCUUCGGCA
rnacentral:tRNA from 1 species